rnacentral:rRNA from 1 species
GGUUAAGCGACCAAGCGUAUACGGUGGAUGCCUUGGCAGUCAGAGGCGAUGAAGGACGUAGUAACUUGCGAAAAGCGUUGGUGAGCUAGUAACAAGCAUUUGAGCCAGCGAUGUCCGAAUGGGGAAACCCGGCACCAUAAGGUGUCAUCACUAAGUGAAUACAUAGCUUAGUGAGGCGAACGAGGGGAACUGAAACAUCUAAGUACCCUUAGGAAAAGAAAUCAAC